AAAAUAAUUAAGCGGCCUUAUUACAUUUAAAAACCCAAAACUUCAAACGUAAAUAAAAGGAUGUUCAGUUCACCAGAAGAAAAUCAAACUUUCAGAACGGGUGGCCACUCCGAAUUCCCUCACAGCUCCAAGCCCACUAUGGUUGGGGAUUACCUGCGUGGAUGAAAAUAAAAGGGGUGAGUUUGGGGAAACUCAGUGUGUAAAAUAACCCAACCAUAGUCUAAAUCAGCUCAACCCACAGAAACAUAAUAAGUUGGCCUUAGCCCAGAACAGAAUUCAGGAUAAAGCCCAUAGGCCCAUAACAGAAUAGAACAGAUAUUACAUGUUUAUGCAGAAACCCAACCAGAUUCAUCCAUAACACCCCCGUACCAGCCUUACACCAUGUGGGGAGACUACUCGACCCACCCAACCGCUACACACCACAGAAAUCGCAGCGAGGCUGCCAGAUAUUGUGACGAAGUCACCAGAUACAGAUAUUGUGGCAGAGCCACCAGAACAGAUAUAUGUGGCAGAGCCACCAGAUCAGAUAAUCGUGGCAUAGCCACCAGAACAGAUAUAUGUGGCAAAGCCACCAGAUCAGAUAAUUGUGGCAUAGCCACCAGGAUGCUUCCUCCAUAAUAUAACCCAUGUCCCCAUGCAACAGAUAUAUAAUCAUGGCAUACAUCAUACAGAAUCAGAACGUCAUGCUUUUCAGUCAAAAUUAACCCUAGGGGUAUAACGGUAAUUUUGCACCUAGGGGUAUAACAGUAAUUUUCCAUACAUAGGGGUAUUAUAGUAAUUUAGCUGCUUUUAGGGUUUUCAUGCAUAUCCUAACUAUUUACGUACUAUCAGAACACUUACCGCGCAUACUUACCGAAUUGGGCUCGUUGGCCCAUGAACCCGAUCUUUGGCCCAUUAAGUCCAAAUUAUCAAAAUGUACGAAAUCACGCGUACUGCAGUUUAUUACUUUAGAUUACCAAAUAUACAAACCCAACUAUCUUACGAGCAUUCGCACACUCGAAAGUUCCCAAAAUACUGACUUUUCGGCAUUUCGACUUUUCGGCUUUUGCCAAUCUAGUCUAUGAGAGGGUGUCAGUUACACACCUGUUUGCGACGAUAUGCUGACGAGAUCCACACACGAACUGCCUACAAUUGGAUUACUAACACGUUAAUCUAACUAUUCAAAUACGAACUACGUAUUAACCCCUUACAAUAUUCGGCCAACCACACCUACAGAUCAUAGUAAGUUUAUAAGAAAUCAAUAAGCAACUCAUUAACAAAUUUUUGUCAAUGUUUACCACAUAAUCAUAAUUUCACUGCAAGCUGUCUUCCUGAGCAACAGUCAGUAAAUCAUUUAUAACUGGAGCUACGAAACUCCAAAUCAAGUGCCGUUAAUUUUCCCUGAAAAUAGACUCAUAUAUAUUCUAUCCAUAAAAUUUUCAGAAUUUUUGGAUUAGCCAAUCAAUACCAGAUUUUUCUCAAAGUUUCCCAUGUUUCACUGUUUGACUAAUCUGACCACUUUUCAUUACGAAUCGAAUUUCUCAUUGUCCAGAAUUAAAAAUAUGUUCUUGUUUAUUUCAUUAGAAACUAGACUCAAUAAGCUUUAAUUACAUAAUUUAUUCAGAUUCUAAUUCAUCUCCCACAAUUUAUGGUGAUCUUCCAAAGUCAUGUUACUGCUGCUGUCCCAAGCAGAUUUAUUACCAAAUCACUCUUUCACACCUAACUUGCAUGCUUGUUAUUUAAACAUGUAUAUCACCAAUCAAUCAUCACAUAUCUAUGAUUUUACUUAAAUAUAAUCUCCAUUUCAUCAUUUUAAAGCACAACAUGUUAGCCGAUUUUUCCCUUUAGCUUCUAAGGCACAUGCAUGUUCAUUUGUUUGGCUCAACUUCACCUAUCUUCCAUUUUUCAUCAAAAGAACAUGAAACAACAACCAUUUCCUUCAUUUUAAUUCAUGACUAAAUGCUCACAACACAACUAAAAAUCAAAAUAUACUUCAAGAGUUAAGGUAGAAUCAAGAAGAACUCAUGAACCUCAAAAUAAGAAGCAAGGUACCAAGAACCUACCUUCAAUUUUCCUCCUCCUAAUGACCGAAUACUCAAGAGCUUUCUCCUCUCCUUUCUCUUCUCUAACUUUCAGCUAUGAUGAACAAAGAUGGACAAAACUUUGUUCUUUUCACCCCUUUUUCUUUUAAUAAAACUU
rnacentral:lncRNA from 1 species